UCAGGAUGAACGCUAGCUACAGGCUAACACAUGCAAGGUCGAGGGGCAGCAUGGGAGUUGCUGCAACUCCGAUGGCGACCGGCGCACGGGUGAGUAACGCGUAUCCAACCUGGCCCUUAGUAGGGAACAGCCCGGCGAAAGUCGGAUUAAUGCCCUAUGUUUUCCAAUGAUGGCAUCUGACUUGGAACAAAGAUUCAUCGCUAAGGGAUGGGGAUGCGUCUGAUUAGCUUGUCGGCGGGGUAACGGCCCACCAAAGCGACGAUCCAUAGCCGGCCUGAGAGGGUGAACGGCCACAUUGGGACUGAGACACGGCCCAGACUCCUACGGGAGGCAGCAGUGGGGAAUAUUGCACAAUGGGGGAAACCCUGAUGCAGCGACGCCGCGUGAAGGAAGAAGUAUCUCGGUAUGUAAACUUCUAUCAGCAGGGAAGAUGAUGACGGUACCUGACUAAGAAGCCCCGGCUAACUACGUGCCAGCCGCAGC
rnacentral:rRNA from 1 species